GGCUCAGGAUAAACGCUGGCGGCGCACAUAAGACAUGCAAGUCGGACGGAAGUCGUUAUAAAAAGGAUUGAAGAUUUAUCUGAUUGAGAUUUUAUAACAAUGGCUUUAGUGGCGGACUGGUGAGUAACGCGUGAGCAACCUGCCUACUAGAGGGGAAUAACAGUGAGAAAUCAUUGCUAAUACCGCAUAUGCCAUGAACAUCACAUGAUGAAAAUGGGAAAAGAGUAAUCUGCUAGUAGAUGGGCUCGCGUCUGAUUAGAUAGUUGGUGGGGUAACGGCCUACCAAGUCGACGAUCAGUAGCCGGACUGAGAGGUUGAACGGCCACAUUGGGACUGAGAUACGGCCCAGACUCCUACGGGAGGCAGCAGUCGGGAAUGUUGCGCAAUGGAGGAAACUCUGACGCAGUGACGCCGCGUAUAGGAAGAAGGUUUUCGGAUUGUAAACUAUUGUCGUUAGGGAAGAUACAAGACAGUACCUAAGGAGGAAGCUCCGGCUAACUACGUGCCAGCAGCCGCGGUAAUACGUAGGGAGCAAGCGUUAUCCGGAUUUAUUGGGUGUAAAGGGUGCGUAGACGGGACAACAAGUUAGUUGUGAAAUCCCUCGGCUUAACUGAGGAACUGCAACUAAAACUAUUGUUCUUGAGUGUUGGAGAGGAAAGUGGAAUUCCUAGUGUAGCGGUGAAAUGCGUAGAUAUUAGGAGGAACACCGGUGGCGAAGGCGACUUUCUGGACAAUAACUGACGUUGAGGCACGAAAGUGUGGGGAGCAAACAGGAUUAGAUACCCUGGUAGUCCACACCGUAAACGAUGGAUACUAGGUGUAGGAAAUGAUUUCAUUUUCUGUGCCGUCGCAAACGCAAUAAGUAUCCCACCUGGGGAGUACGGCCGCAAGGUUGAAACUCAUAGGAAUUGACGGA
rnacentral:rRNA from 1 species